rnacentral:misc_RNA from 1 species
AUCACCUGUUCGUUCGUUCCCAUGUCGGGCGCCAUGACGUCGACAUGCGGCCCCACGAAUGGAAUCAUCUCCUGCAUGUAGCGGCGAGACAGGGAUUCCAGCUCGCGUGCGGACAAACUCAAGGNNNNNNNNCCGAUACCUCCCUUGGCGCCGCCGUAUGGCAAACCAACAAGCGCACACUUCCAACUCAUCCAGAUUGCCAGCGCGGCAACCUCGCCAAGAUCGACGCUUGCAG